CUGCUAUGCUCCUUUCAAAAAAAAUCCACAAAAUCCCAAAACCCCAUUGUCCCUCCCUAUUCCACCCGAUGGCUAGGGUUGCAAUGGAGAGGUCAGCUGGAGAUGGCAAGGAAGCGGUGGGAGACGGCAUGGUAGAGGCGGGAGGGGUGAAGUGUGGAUUCAACGCUUUGGACCAUAUAUAGUGGCCUCUGGCAGCUCAUUGUCGUCUUGUGGUCGUCGAAAGAGAUUAGUACUACUAUUGGUGAAGUUCCACUCAUGCAUGGAGAAGACCAUCAUGCUGCGCAUAGCGCAGAAGAUUGUUAAUUGGGGCCCCAUUUUCUACGAUUGCCCUGACCACGAGAAAGAUGGAUCUGGCUGUGACUUUUGGUGUUGAGAGGAAGGCUAAUCAAAUAUCUGAAGAGGAAUGGCUUGAUUGGUGAAGAAGAUGUUCCGAAAGAGAACGAUGCAGCAAGGUUGGAGCAAGCUGCAUAUCCAAAACGUGAUGAUGAACUGAAGAAGACAUUAAAACUUGUAGCGUGCACUGGGGGAGAAUUAGCAGUGACACUGAAAGGAAUUCUAUUAGUAGGUUGUUUAGGUGAUGCUAGUUUAGUUUGUAUUUUUGCAAUCAUUAUGAUGAAGUGAUGUUCAAAUUGAAUGGAAA